GGGACCUCGAGGAGCCAGGUUUACAAAUCUGACUGUCGUGACCCCUAAAAGAACAUUUGCAUAGCAAGGGCGGGGCAAAACCCGGUUGCCCCCCCCCCCCGGUAACACCGGCGUCUCGAGUGGUAACCGUUAUUAUUUGGUCUAAAGGGUCUGUAGCCGGCCGGAUAAGUCUCCUGGGAAAUCCAACAGCUCAACUGUUGGGCUUUCAGGAGAUACUGUGUGGCUCGAGGACGAGAGAGGUGAGAGGUACUUCUGGGGUAGGGGUGAAAUCUAAUAAUCCUGGAAAGACCUCCAGUGGCGAAGGCGUCUCACCAGAACGGCCCUGACGGCAAGGGACGAAAGCUAGGGGCACGAACCGGAUUAGAUACCCGGGUAGUCCUAGCCGUAAACGAUACUCGCUAGGUGUCGGCACGGCGCGACCGUUGUCGGUGCCGUAGGGAAGCCGUGAAGCGAGCCACCUGGGAAGUACGGCCGCAAGGCUGAAACUUAAACGAAUUGGCGGGGGAGCACCACAACGGGUGGAGCUUGCGGUUUAAUUGGAUCACGCCGGAAAGGGCGAAU
rnacentral:rRNA from 1 species